AGUGAACGCUGGCGGUAGGCCUAACACAUGCAAGUCGAACGGCAGCACAGUAAGAGCUUGCUCUUACGGGUGGCGAGUGGCGGACGAGUGAGGAAUACAUCGGAAUCUACUUUUUCGUGGGGGAUAACGUAGGGAAACUUACGCUAAUACCGCAUACGACCUACGGGUGAAAGCAGGGGAUCUUCGGACCUUGCGCAAUUGAAUGAGCCGAUGUCGGAUUAGCUAGUUGGCGGGGUAAAGGCCCACCAAGGCGACGAUCCGUAGCUGGUCUGAGAGGAUGAUCAGCCACACUGGAACUGAGACACGGUCCAGACUCCUACGGGAGGCAGCAGUGGGGAAUAUUGGACAAUGGGCGAAAGCCUGAUCCAGCCAUACCGCGUGGGUGAAGAAGGCCUUCGGGUUGUAAAGCCCUUUUGUUGGGAAAGAAAAGCAGCAGGUUAAUACCCCGCUGUUCUGACGGUACCCAAAGAAUAAGCACCGGCUAACUUCGUG
rnacentral:rRNA from 1 species